rnacentral:lncRNA from 1 species
CAUCGUCCGCGACGCAGCUCGGGAUCCGGGUCGGGGUGUCGGCCGGGUUGCUGCCGGGCACCGUCGAGCGUUAGCCACCCAGCAUUGAGCUGCCAGCGGCUGUUCUCCCUAAGCACCCUCGCUCACGUCGCCUCGCCUCGCCUGACCGGCCGCAGCCUUGGAUACCAGCCUUAAAUCGAGCCGACUACGGCCCAGCCCCGCCCGCGGCGAGAAUCCACUGAAGACCUACAUUUCCCGGAAGGUUAACAGCCCCCUUCUCAGUUUUCCUGCUGCUCCUAUCAGUGACAAAUCAGUGUAUUAGAACAUGCAUGCUGGCUGAUCAUUCUGAUCAAGUCAACAAGCUUCACAACUUACUCAAUGAGGUCGUCCGUGAGAACUUCACUGUUUUACGAGGACAGGAGCUACUUCUUUGCUGAACUGCAUCACGGUUUCAACUGCUGAGGUUUUCUUCAAGCUUUUGCAUUGUUUGGAAUGUGAAAGGCACGGCCGAGACACACUUUGAGGUUCCCACUGCAUUGUUACACCUCCCCCCUCACUUCAGGGCCAGGUAACACCAAGAAGGACGCCAUGAGAGCGAAGGCCGUUGGGUCACCGCCCUUUGCUCUCGCGCUGCGCGUCUCCCUGCCAUCAACCGCCGCAACUGGCGCUGGGAGCGGUUGAGGGCGGCCGGCCUCGCGCUGGAACCUCGCCCGCCUCAAGGCUCCUGCGGCGGCGCACAGGGCAGGCCAGGAGCCCGCCCUAGGAGGGCCCCGCUGGAGAUGUGGAAAUGGAGGGACGCGGCACCUGGGUGCUUCCUGGGGCCAGACAACGCCCCCUCAUUGGAACCUCCAUGACCGUGCCUCUGAGAAACCAGCGCGUCCGCAACGAUCACUCCUAAUUUUCGGAUUCCUAUCAUCUGUCUCCACGUGAUAACACUGAAGAGCCUUCACAUUGAUGCAGGCCCAGGGCCUCAAGUGCAGAGUCUGAGAGCUCUGCAGGACACAGCAUGGAGCCGCCAUUCCUCUACUGGGUGGAGGAGCAUGUGUCCUCUGAACAGGGGAUCCAAGCCCUGAGAUGUUCUUUCUCAGCUGUCAGUGCGGCCCAGGACUUUCUGUGGGGAUGCUCAGACAGCAGGGGCCGGAGGACUUUUAGCCACCACCUCCCAUGGCCAGUCUUCACAAAUUACCUUUGGCUAAUUUGACUGUCUCUCCUCCUGGGGUCUAGGACUUCAAACAUGUACAGAAGCGAUUGCAGAAUUAAGACAAGACACUUCCACAAUAUAUUUUUUGUAUCACUGGCUCAGAAAAAGACUCAUUCAAAUCCUGUAUCAAAGCCACAUGUGAGAAUCUUGAGAAAGCAUCAGCUGACUGACUUGACAAGGGAGGAAGCAACCAAAAAUUCUGCGCUUCUUCAGUAUCUGAGUAUGAUAUUUUGCUUCAACAUCCCUCUUAGAUGAAGUUAUUGAUUGAAAAUCAUUUAAGUUUGCCCCAUGGUAAAAGAUCAAGUCCUCAGAAAGAUCUCCAAAGUGUUUACAGUUUGUUUUGUUUUGGUAAGUUUACCAUGAUUUUGCUUGAAUUGCUCUCCGUUGAUCUUCUCAGCUAAGAUGGAGGUAGAGUUGCACAGUGGAAGAGGGCUGCAUGUAAGAAGGCAGUUCUGUCUCAGAGGACAAAAGGCCUGGGAGCACCCAGACAGACAGUCACUGCAUGGAGGUCACUCCCCUCCCAGUGGCCACUGUGGAGACAUUUCACAGAAAUGCUUGCUGGACCAUUCAGGUUCAGAGUUGGGACAAAACCGAGAACUCAUGGGGAUAUUGGACAGGAGUUAGGAAAUGACCUUCUCACACAACUGGGGCAGUGGGGGAGAACCCUGGGCUUGAGACUUGCAAUCCACCACUUGCCCCUGCCCCUGCCCCUGCAGUGUGGCCGCUGUUACAUUUUCCUGCAACUCUGCCUUCUUGAGUCCAAGUGUCUUCGAAAGGGCAAAUGCUUCGUAAGUGCCGACAGGGUGUGUUUCAGUGAAUGUUUGCAGUGUGCACCGGUCUGGCUGAAGGCCUCUUCCCUUCCCCAACACCCUCCCAUCGUGCAAAAUUACCCUGCCCAGCAGGGAGUGAUUUGUGUGUCUCAGAAGAUUUUGUUGCUGUGCUCUGAGUUCUCACUCCUCAUCUCCUUUGACCAGUUUCUUCUAAUACUCCCCUUGUUCACAACACAGAACAUGAGUGCUCUUUCCUAUCAUUUUGAUACUAAUAAACGGACAGUGAUUCUCAGUGUGGAAA